rnacentral:rRNA from 1 species
CUAGGAAUCUGCCCGAUAGUGGGGGACAACGUUUCGAAAGGAACGCUAAUACCGCAUACGUCCUACGGGAGAAAGUGGGGGAUCUUCGGACCUCACGCUAUCGGAUGAGCCUAGGUCGGAUUAGCUAGUUGGUGAGGUAAUGGCUCACCAAGGCGACGAUCCGUAACUGGUCUGAGAGGAUGAUCAGUCACACUGGAACUGAGACACGGUCCAGACUCCUACGGGAGGCAGCAGUGGGGAAUAUGACAAUGGGCGAAAGCCUGAUCCAGCCAUGCCGCGUGUGUGAAGAAGGUCUUCGGAUUGUAAAGCACUUUUAAGUUGGGAGGAAGGCUGUCGGCUAAUACCCUGCAGUUUGACGUUACCUACAGAAUAAGCACCGGCUAACUUCGUGCCAGCAGCCGCGGUAUACGAAAGGGUGCAAGCGUUAAUCGGAAUUACUGGGCGUAAGCGCGCGUAGGUGGUUCAGCAAGUUGGAUGUGAAAGCCCCGGGCUCAACCCUGGGAACUGCAUCCAAACUACUGAGCUAGAGUACGGUAGAGGGUGGUGGAUUUCCUGUGUAGCGGUGAAAUGCGUAGAUAUAGGAAGGAACACCAGUGGCGAAGGCGACCACCUGGACUGAUACUGACACUGAGGUGCGAAAGCGUGGGGAGCAUACAGGAUUAG